AGCGAGUAAGACAGACUCUUCAGUCUGAGUUGGUGGAUGUGAGUGUACUUUGUUUGAGCAUACAGGUUA
rfam:Grapevine Algerian latent virus strain nipplefruit 92K protein, 33K protein, 40k protein, 24k protein, and 19k protein genes, complete cds.